rnacentral:rRNA from 1 species
UACGGGGGGGGCAAGCGUUGUUCGGAAUUACUGGGCGUAAAGGGCUCGUAGGCGGCCAACUAAGUCAUACGUGAAAUCCCUCGGCUUAACCGGGGAACUGCGUCUGAUACUGGAUGGCUUGAGUUCGGGAGAGGGAUGCGGAAUUCCAGGUGUAGCGGUGAAAUGCGUAGAUAUCUGGAGGAACACCGGUGGCGAAGGCGGCAUCCUGGACCGAUACUGACGCUGAGGAGCGAAAGCCAGGGGAGCAAAGCGGGG